rnacentral:rRNA from 1 species
UUGGAGGGCAAGUCUGGUGCCAGCAGCCGCGGUAAUUCCAGCUCCAAUAGCGUAUAUUAAAGUUGUUGCAGUUAAAAAGCUCGUAGUUGAAUUUCGGGGUCAGUAGGUUGGUCAUGCCACUGGUAUGUACUGGUUUCACUGAUUCCUCCUUCCUGAUGAACUGUAAUGCCAUUAAUUUGGUGUUGCAGGGAAUCUGGACUGUUACUUUAGAAAAAUUGAGUGUUUAAAGCAGGCUAACGCUUGAAUACAUUAGCAUGGAAUAAUGAAAUAGGACGCUCGAUCC